rnacentral:rRNA from 1 species
CCUACGGGUGGCAGCAGUGAGGAAUAUUGGUCAAUGGGCGCGAGCCUGAACCAGCCAAGUAGCGUGAAGGAUGACUGCCCUACGGGUUGUAAACUUCUUUUAUAAAGGAAUAAAGUGAGGCACGUGUGCCUUUUUGUAUGUACUUUAUGAAUAAGGAUCGGCUAACUACGUGCCAGCAGCCGCGGUAAUACGGAGGAUCCGGGCGUUGUCCGGAUUUAUUGGGUUUAAAGGGAGCGUAGGUGGGUUGAUAAGUCAGUUGUGAAAGUUUGCGGCUCAAACGUAAAAUUGCAAUUGAGACUGGCAGCCUUGAGUACAGUAGAGGUAGGCGGAACUCGUGGUGUAGCGGUGAAAUGCUUAGAUAUCACGAAGAACUCCGAUGGCGAAGGCAGCCUACUAAACUGCCACUGACAUUGAUGCUCGAAAGUGUGGGUAUCAAACAGGAUUAGAUACCCGAGUAGUC